rnacentral:rRNA from 1 species
UACGAAGGGGGCUAGCGUUGCUCGGAAUCACUGGGCGUAAAGGGUGCGUAGGCGGGUCUUUAAGUCAGGGGUGAAAUCCUGGAGCUCAACUCCAGAACUGCCUUUGAUACUGAGGAUCUUGAGUUCGGGAGAGGUGAGUGGAGCUGCGAGUGUAGAGGUGAAAUUCGUAGAUAUUCGGAAGAACACCAGUGGCGAAGGCGACUUACUGGACACAUAUUGACGCUGAGGUGCGAAAGCGUGGGGAGCAAACAGG